rfam:Triticum aestivum genome assembly, contig: Triticum_aestivum_CS42_TGACv1_scaffold_336696_4BS
GUGAGCCUAGUGAUAGGAGACUAUCUAGCUUGGUUCGGAGAGCACUUGUUGGGUUUCAGAUUCAUUUUUU